GGUGUGGUAUGGCACCUUUAGAAGUGAGCUUGCACAAUUCCUGGAAGGAAAAGUAAUGGAGAACUAACGGUUCUUGAAGAGACAUUCAGAGAAAUGACUGGGAUAUAAAAGAAGAUACCUUUUUAGUGUAGAGUUGUAAAGUGGAAAGAAUAAUGAAUGGUUUGAAGACCUAGGUUGGAAUCCCAGCUCAGAAGUAUGACCUUGGGCAAGUUACUUAACCGAUCUAGAAUCUCAAUUGCAAAACGCAGAUAAAACCUCACAGGACGGCUGUCAAGAUUAAAUAAGAUAAAGGAUGGGAAAGCUGAUAAUGCGAUACAAAUAACAAGUGUUAUUAGGAGUUAGUCUCCUCCCAGGUACAACACAGUAGGUCCACGACCUUGACGUGAUUUCAGUUCCUCGUGCCUCGGUUUUCUCAUCUAGAAAAUGGGAAGGUUGAUACUAUCUACUCUACAAAUAUUCUGAGAAUCAAGUUAGACCAUAUAUGAGACAUCACGCCUUGAAAACUGUACAGUGCUGUACGUCUAUAAAGAACUGCCAUCGUGGCCGAUACGUCUUAAGCAUGUCAAAGGCCGUGUUUAUGCAAAGAAACACGUAUUUUUAUGCUAUGCAGGUGAGGAAGCCUCGCGUGCAUUUCUGCAUCCAAGAGUGGGGCACAGGGCACAGACAGACAUUCACGGAUUCCGGGGGUGUGACUUGCACGCUUGGGAAGAGGACCAUGGAACAAGCUGCUCGGCCGGAAUCAGAGUGGACCCGCUCGAUAGCCCCCGCCUCGCCGGCCCGGACGAUGUAGAGGGCGCGCUCCUCAUCCAUGGCCGCAGGUGCGGGGGAGCCGCGGCCGCUCUGCGCGCCCAAGCCGCUGCCUCCAGAGCAAAAGUAAGACGACAUCCCAGGAAAGCCGCCUACCCGUGCUCCUCUCUGUGGGGAUAAACUGGUAUCCUGUGUGUGACCGAAGAGGAAGGCACGUGCGUGCUCCGCAUACAGGGCAGCUGUUGAGAGUUUUCAGCCGGGGACCCUGCCGCUGUUGUCACCGUGUACGUUAGAGACCACGUGUACGACUGCAUGGCUCCUGCAGAGAUAAGCGAAGAUGCAUCAUCACCAGCAGUUCUCACUCCCCCAGUUCUUCCCUAGCAUGCUAGUGGUUUCCCACUGCUCUCUAGCUGAAAGCCAGAAUCUUUACACAUCCUGUGUCAUGGUUCUUGCUGACCUCACCAGAAGCAUCCCUCACUCCCUGCUUUUGUACCUCUGAUCCAGCCACCAUAGCUUUCUUUCAUUUUUCCAGAGUACCACAAUUCCCAGCACCACAAGGCCUUUGCACAGCCAUUUCCACUGCCUGAAACCCUCAGUCUUCCCUAAGUACCCACUCAUUCUUCAUAUUUUAAUAUGAAGAAGCUGUCUCCUAAACCCAGAUCCCAUUAAGUCAGGUCCCAUACAGCAUGAUUAUGCCUACCACUAUUUGUAACCUUACAGCCAUUCAUGAGUGUGAUUGAAUUAGUGUCUGAUCCCCUCCCCACCAGACUUUGAGCUACAUGAGGGU